rnacentral:tRNA from 2 species
GCGGAUGUGGUGAAAUUGGUAGACACGACAGAUUUAGGAUCUGUUGCCGCGAGGCGUGGGGGUUCGAGUCCCUUCAUCCGCACUA